GCCUCCUGUUGUCUCUGCUCCAUGUCACUGGCCUGGGCUUCUUCGCCUCGCGGUGGCCUCGGGUCAGCCAGACUCCUUCCUGGAGGCUCGGAAUCCAAGAGCAACCUGUGUCUGAGCUUCGUGCCCAGUGGCGACCACAGAAGUGCUGAUGGAAACAGGGGUCAGUGGUCACAUCCCCCGGGAAGGGACCAAGACAGACAUACCCACAGAGGACCGCAGGUGCCCCCAGCUUUCCCGGGAGGAAGGCAGCCGUCUUCCCAAGUCACAGCUGUCUCCAACAUGGUGGUGGUUGCUGUGCAAACAGGAGAAGAGGCGGAGCUGGCACGAGAACCAUCUGAUCCAAGGGAGCUCCCUGCAUCCUCGCAGCAAGCGGUCCUUCCCAGGAGCUGUGUGCUUACACCACGUCUAUGGCAUUGGGCCCUUAGGAAUGAUUGUUGCUAAACAUACCGUGGCCUGACUUUACAGGAUGGCAUCGCCACGUGUCCCAUGAAGAUGCACAUAAACUGGCAAUGCUGACGGUGAGGACCCAUCAGAAGUUAUUCCCAGGUCUCUUGGUCCAAGAGGCUGAGAUUCUCCUGAGUUGCUGGUCUCAGGGGACUGAGCUUGCAGCUGCUUCAGCCCGCUCUGCGCUGGCCCCGCCGCUCUGCGAUGGCCCCGCCCCCUGCACUGCUGCUUGAAGUGAGGAGCCACUGUGGGUGGCCUCCAGCUAGCGGACCUUUGGAUUUCCGUCUAUCAGUUUUACCAUAGAUUUAUUACUUUCCUACCCACACUUUCCUCUGGCCUGAAUUCGCUCCUUUAUUUAUUUUCAUUUCCUUCCAUUGUAUGUAUCUUUAAAACCUUACCAAAUCUUUGAUGAAAAUUGGCAGAGUAUCCUAUAUAAUCCUAUAUAAUA